rnacentral:tRNA from 1 species
AGCGGAUUAGUGUAAUAGAAACAUUUUUGACUCAUGAUCAGAAGAUAUAGGUGCGAUUCCUUUAUCCGCAU